GUAAAAGAGUAUAUGGAAGUUCCAAUAUGUAAUUGUAGCUAAAGCAGUUAGGUAGUUGGAUGAAAUUUAGAUAUAUUGAAUAAAAUACCAGUCUGGAAUGAUAGACUGGUGGAAACAGAGUAUCAGAAGAGAUAUCUAUGGUAUUUCUUUCAGCUUUUGCAUUGUUGAGUCCAACUGUUUCCAUGGAUUACUUGUGUGUUAGACUACCGGUAGAUGUAACAGGAAUUCACUGAGAACUUGCCUAUACAUCAACUCAUCAUGGCAAUGUGUGUGUGUACAGACACAUAUAUAUAUAUAUAUAUAUAUAUAUAUAUAUAUAU